AACGGAUGAUCCUUGUCCCACCUGUGAAUCAUCGAGCACGUUUCGUUUAUCAGAAACACUUCCCUCAGACACUCCAGUCACCUACGGAUACGCAAAUUUCAUUCAAAAUCUCCUAAUGGAAGACGGGAAACGUGUCACUGACCAGUGGAAGACUCUCCUCUUGGGGGACGAGGGAAUCCUAACACGUUUCCAACACAUGGAACCCCAACUUACAUUUGACAAGCAUUAAACUCGUUCAAGUCGCAUGAAUUACCGGCACGAUUUCGCGUACGUCCUCGAAUUUGCAUUAGAAUCCUUUUGCGGAAAGUUUUCGAGAUACGGAAUCUUUGGCGAAAUGCCGUUUCCUGUGUUACACGGAUGAGGAGACAAAAAGUUAUCGAACAAACCAUCGCGUAGUUUGGGGACAUUUAUAUUCAUCGUGGAUUCUUAUUCCGCGCAAAUAAAUCGUCAGUUAACGUGCGACUUCACUUCUAUCAAGAAAUGCUCACUAAUUUCGCGCAUGUUUUGCAUUUUCGUCCGCAGAAAAUGCGAAAUGCCAAUGAGGAGUCUCGCGACCGAUGCAGCAGUAGGGGAAACAAUUUGCAAGAAAUUAUAAUUCAUAUCUGCUUGUCAGACAAUUUCCCCGAGAAAUUUCUCCAAUUAUUCGGUGAUUCAUUUGUUAAUAGUUCCGCAAUCUUGUCGCAAUUUUUUAUGUACACGGUAAAUAUUUUUUCAACACUUCUGUCAUUCAUUUCUUUAACAUUGAUGUCACUCAUUCCUAAUUUCGCGCCUCCUGGUUUAAUGUACAAUUUCAUCGAACACGUUUUUAUCGUACGGCUUUGAGAAGCGGUCAAGCCCAGGAUCUUGACGAUGAAUCACCGGAGUGGGUAUAUUACGUUGAUAUGUCAAUGAAUCAGAAAAUCAUCGUAGAUCGUAGUUGCCGCAGGGCCGCCUCAACUCGUAAUUGACCGCGAAGGUAUUCAAGCCGACAUACAAACGACGUCGACCUACAUCUCACGAAAAGCCCUGUACUUUCUCGAUUUUCUCCAGCUCGUACAAUGUACUUCUCCUCGUGGGAAAAGUUCUUACCGAGAGUUCUCCCUACUACUCGAACAUUUACAAAUAAUAUUGCAGUAUCAUUGAAUAAUUUUGUAAUAUCAAAUUACACGUUUUAUGUGAUGAUGCACAGAA